CGUAAAGAACCUGCCUCAUAGACUGGGACAACUAUUGGAAACGAUAGCUAAUACCGGAUAACAGCAUUAACUGCAUGGUUGAUGUUUGAAAGUUGGUUUUGCUAACACUAUGAGAUGGCUUUGCGGUGCAUUAGCUAGUUGGUGGGGUAAAGGCCUACCAAGGCGACGAUGCAUAGCCGACCUGAGAGGGUGAUCGGCCACACUGGGACUGAGACACGGCCCAG
rnacentral:rRNA from 2 species